rnacentral:lncRNA from 1 species
AUGGAAAUUAUAUUAGAACUUCAGCAAAGUGCACAGCCGCAUAACACAGAAGCCGAGACUCAGAUUGACAGGCAAAUAAGCCAGCUCGUGGAAGGGGCCUCUGGGUGGCAGCUCUGGGCUAUUGGGUGUUGGACAACUAUAGGCAAAACUGAAAUGGAACAGGGGCAGAAAAUAGCACACUUUAACGCUGCGCAACCGUUGCUUUCUCAUGGCCAUUGGAAAUUUUGUUGGGAUAAUCCUCCAAAUGAAUUUGAAGCAUUCUAUUCAAAUGAUGAUUUAUACAGAUUUGAUUUGCAAAUUCUACAGAUGCACGGCUGGUGGUGUGGCUCAGACGGAGCAAGGGUUACAUCAAGGCUGUUCUCUGGACCGUGCAAACAGUCUAGACCAAUGACCUGCAGCAUCAUGCCCUUUGAAGAAGAGGCAAGUUCGGUCAUGAUGAAGAAAAAUCAAGGCGUACCCCUUUUAACAAUAGGGAGCAGCUCGAGGCUGCAAAGAGGUUAUUUAUCAUUAAAAUGGCAUUGUUAUGUGAUGACUCAGAAGUUAACAGAGUUUGUGGCUGCUUUUGAGAAAGAAAACUCUUAA